rfam:Gossypium raimondii Chr03_contig_1029, whole genome shotgun sequence.
UGUUAAAAAUUUCAUUCAUUUUUACUAUUAAAAACUAGUGUAAUUGACAGAAUAAACAGUCAUGCCACGUGCUCCUCAUUUUGGCGCAUAAGGACCAAUUUUUAAGAGUAGAAAUGAAUGAAAUUUUUAACA